AUUGAACGCUGGCGGAAUGCUUUACACAUGCAAGUCGAACGGCAGCACGGACUUCGGUCUGGUGGCGAGUGGCGAACGGGUGAGUAACAUAUCGGAACGUAUCCAAUAAUGGGGGAUAACGAGUCGAAAGAUUCGCUAAUACCGCAUACGCCCUACGGGGGAAAGCUGGGGACCUUCGGGCCUGGCGUUAAUGGAGGGGCCGAUAUCUGAUUAGCUAGUUGGUGAGGUAAAGGCUCACCAAGGCGAAGAUCAGUAGCUGGUCUGAGAGGACGACCAGGCACACUGGAACUGCGACACGGUCCGGACCCCUACGGGAGGCAGCAGUGGGGAAUUUUGGACAAUGGGCGCAAGCCUGAUCCAGCCAUUCCGCGUGAGUGAAGAAGGCCUUCGGGUUGUAAAGCUCUUUCGCAAGGGAAGAAAACUUAGCCACUAACAUUGGUUGCGGUUGACGGUACCUUGAUAAGAAGCACCGGCUAACUACGUGCCAGCCGCCGCCGUAA
rnacentral:rRNA from 1 species